AGCUCCAAUAGCGUAUAUUAAAGUUGUUGCAGUUAAAAAGCUCGUAGUUGGAUUUCUGUUGGGAAUAGCCAGUCCGCUCUUUGAGUGUGUACUUGGUCGAUCUCAGCAUCCUUCUGGUUUGCAUAUUCCACUUCAUUGUGCGAGUAUGUAUUUCCAGGAAUUUUACUUUGAGAAAAUUAGAGUGUUUCAAGCAGGCUUGUUGCCUUGAAUACUACAGCAUGGAAUAAUAAGAUAGGAUUUCGGUUCUAUUUUGUUGGUUUCUAGGACUGAAGUAAUGAUUAAUAGGGACAGUUGGGGGCAUUCGUAUUUAACUGUCAGAGGUGAAAUUCUUAGAUUUGUUAAAGACGGACUACUGCGAAAGCAUUUGCCAAGGAUGUUUUCAUUAAUCAAGAACGAAAGU
rnacentral:rRNA from 1 species